rnacentral:rRNA from 1 species
GGCCAAGCUGUUAAGGGCAGACGGUGGAUGCCUUGGUGUCAGGAGGCGAAGAAAGACGUGGCAAGCUGCGAUAAGCUUCGGGGAGCCGCUAAACAGGCUUUGAUCCGGAGAUUUCUGAAUGGGGAAACCCGUCAUGGUUAAUACUGUGACAUCUGUAACUGAAUACAUAGGUUGCAGAAGCGAACGAGGUGAACUGAAACAUCUUAGUAACCUCAGGAAGAGAAAACAAUAGUGAUUUCCGUAGUAGCGGCGAGCGAACCGGAACCAGCCCAAACUCGGUAUAUGUCAAGCCUGGAAGCGUUGUAUAUCGGGGGUCGUGGGGUUUGACCGGACAUGUUUCCAGACAUGUCGGAAAGUAAAAAAAUCGUUUUAUAAUCGAAACGUCUGGGAAGGCGUACUAUAGAAGGUGAAAGUCCUGUAGAUGAAAUGAAACGAACUUUUCGGGUCGAAAACCCAAGUACCGCGGGACACGAGAAACCCUGCGGGAAUUCGUGAGGACCAUCUCACAAGGCUGAAUACUACCUGACGACCGAUAGUGAACCAGUACCGUGAGGGAAAGGUGAAAAGUACCCCGGUGAGGGGAGUGAAAUAGUACCUGAAACCGUCUGCCUACAAGCAGUGGGAGCACUAUGUAAGUUUUUCGGAAUUUACAGUGUGACCGCGUGCCUUUUGCAUAAUGAGUCAGCGAGUUGUUUUACGUAGCAAGGUUAAGCCGUCAGGUGUAGCCGUAGCGAAAGCGAGUCUUAACAGGGCGAUGUAGUUGCGUGAAGCAGACCCGAAACCAGGUGAUCUAUCCAUGGCCAGGGUGAAGCGCCAGUAAAAUGGCGUGGAGGCCCGAACCGUUGUAUGUUGAAAAAUGCUCGGAUGAGCUGUGGAUAGGGGUGAAAGGCCAAACAAACCUGGAAAUAGCUGGUUCUCCCCGAAAUAUAUUUAGGUAUAGCCUUGCAAAGUAAGUAACGGGGGUAGAGCACUGGAUGGGCUAGGGGUCCUACCAGAUUACCAAACCUAACCAAACUCCGAAUACCGUUAACUGUAAUUGCAGGAGUCAGACUAUGGGAGCUAAGUUCCAUGGUCGAAAGGGAAACAGCCCGGACCGCCGGCUAAGGUCCCGAAAUAUGUGCUAAGUGGGAAAGGAUGUGGAAAUGCACAGACAACCAGGAGGUUGGCUUAGAAGCAGCCACCCUUUAAAGAAAGCGUAACAGCUCACUGGUCGAGUGAGUCUGCGCCGAAGAUGUAACGGGGCUAAAGCACAUUACCGAAGCCGCGGAUAUUAAAAAGAUUUAUCUUUUGAUAUGGUAGGGGAGCAUUGCGUACGGGUUGAAGUUCGACCGUAAGGACGGAUGGACUGUACGGAAGAGACCAUGCUGACAUGAGUAACGAUAAAGCGGGUGAAAAACCCGCUCGCCGAAAACCUGAGGAUUCCUGAGUAAAGCUAAUCUUCUCAGGGUUAGUCGAUCCCUAAGCCGAGGCCGAAAGGCGUAGGCGAUGGAAAACAGGUUAAUAUUCCUGUACCACCGGAUUAUCAAUGCCCUUCGGGGUGAGAGAGAUUGGGGGGACGCAGAAGGGCAGACCAUCCACCUGCUGGAAUAGGUGGUUCAAGCUGGUAGGCUGAGAGGACAGGUAAAUCCGUUCUUUCGUUAAGGCCGAGAAGUGAUGAGAAGAGACUUAGUCUCAUAAACUGGUUGAUCCCAUACUGCCAAGAAAAGCCUCUAUCGAGAUAAUCAGGUGAUCGUACCGCAAACCGACACAGGUAGGUAGGGAGAGAAUCCCAAGGCGCUUGAGAAAACCCUGGUUAAGGAACUCGGCAAAAUCACACCGUAACUUAGGGAGAAGGUGUGCCUCUAUGAAGUGAAGUGCUUCGCGCACUGAGUGGAAAGAGGCCGCAGAGAAAUGGCGGUAGCGACUGUUUACUAAAAACAUAGGACUCUGCAAAGUCGCAAGACGAAGUAUAGGGUCUGACGCCUGCCCGGUGCCGGAAGGUUAAGGGGAGAUGUUAGGGUAACCGAAGCAUUGAACCGAAGCCCCGGUAAACGGCGGCCGUAACUAUAACGGUCCUAAGGUAGCGAAAUUCCUUGUCGGGUAAGUUCCGACCUGCACGAAUGGCGUAACGACUUCCGCACUGUCUCAACCAGGGACUCAGUGAAAUUGUAUUGGCGGUGAAGAUGCCGUCUACCCGCGAAAAGACGGAAAGACCCCGGCACCUUUACUACAGCUUGACAUUGGAUUUUGAAAUAUCAUGUGUAGGAUAGGUGGGAGGCUUGGAAACCGGAACGCCAGUUUCGGUGGAGCCACCCUUGAAAUACCACCCUUGUUAUUUUAGAAUUCUAAUUUUGUCCCGUAAUCCGGGCGAAAGACAGUGUCUGGUGGGUAGUUUGACUGGGGCGGUCGCCUCCUAAAGAGUAACGGAGGCGCGCGAAGGUUCCCUCAGGCUGAUUGGAAACCAGCCGUGGAGUGUAAAGGCAUAAGGGAGCUUGACUGCGAGAGAGACAUUUCGAGCAGGUACGAAAGUAGGUCUUAGUGAUCCGGCGGUCCCGAAUGGAAGGGCCGUCGCUCAACGGAUAAAAGGUACGCCGGGGAUAACAGGCUUAUCGCCCCCAAGAGUUCACAUCGACGGGGCGGUUUGGCACCUCGAUGUCGGCUCAUCACAUCCUGGGGCUGGAGCAGGUCCCAAGGGUUCGGCUGUUCGCCGAUUAAAGUGGUACGUGAGCUGGGUUUAAAACGUCGUGAGACAGUUUGGUCCCUAUCUUUCGUGGGCGUAGGAUAUUUGAGAGGAUCUGUUCCUAGUACGAGAGGACCGGAAUGGACAAACCAAUGGUGUUCCAGUUGUUCCGCCAGGGGCAUUGCUGGGUAGCUAAGUAUGGAAAGGAUAACCGCUGAAAGCAUCUAAGCGGGAAGCCCCCCUCGAGAUUAGAUAUCCCUUUCUUUUUAAUAAGAACUGAAGACCCCUCGAAGACUACGAGGUUGAUAGGCCGGGUGUGGAAGUACAGUAAUGUAUGGAGCUAACCGGUACUAAUCGGUCGUGAGGCUUGGCCAC